GAGCAAAAGAAAAGCACAAGUAACAGCUUGAAAGGCCUCCUGACUUAUGCUUUCUCUGUAUACGCUCCUGGUGCAAGGGUGUGAGAGAGGCCAUUUGAGCAUGGAUUGCAGUGUUCUCAAGAGGAAAGAAUGGUAGCUCGCCUGUGCGAGCUGGUCAUGACAGAGGAAGAGGGGGAAUGGGCACCUGGAUGCUGUUUGGAAGUGGAGGCAUCAGGCGUGAGAGGAAGAGGAAGCCAAAGGACCAUGCCUACUCCUCCAAUGUGGCCACUUACGUUAACAAUUACCAAUUAGGUUAACAGUAAGGGAACGGCAUGUGGAGUUGACUCAUGCUGCUGAAUUCUUCAGUGUUGUCGGAAACCCUUGGAAAGUCUCUGAGUCUGACCAGGAUUUGUUUUUUUAAGACUUAAAAGUAACAAAACAUCUAUACAAAGUUCUCCCUGGGAAGCUGUGUGAUGAAUUGGAAGAAGAAAGAUUUCUCUUCGAAGCAAGUAAAUACAAAGAAUGUGAAGCCCAAGUGAUUGAAAAUAGAAAUUUAAUGUGCCCUCGAGUAUGUUAUAUAUCUUGCAAUAAACCCUUUACAAUGUUCUCAAAAUUGAAGCCAUGCGCUGUUGACAAUUUGACAAUAUAGACUCUUGUGCUUGUUGUCCCA